rnacentral:piRNA from 1 species
UGAGUGCAAAGGGCUGAUGUGAGACUGA